rnacentral:rRNA from 1 species
UACAGAGGGGGCAAGCGUUGUUCGGAAUUACUGGGCGUAAAGGGCGCGUAGGCGGCCUGCUAAGUCGAACGUGAAAUCCCUGGGCUCAACCCAGGAACUGCGUCCGAUACUGGUUGGCUUGAGUUCGGGAGAGGGAUGUGGAAUUCCAGGUGUAGCGGUGAAAUGCGUAGAUAUCUGGAGGAACACCGGUGGCGAAGGCGGCAUCCUGGACCGACACUGACGCUGAGGAGCGAAAGCCAGGGGAGCAAACGGG